CGCGUAGGUGGUGGCUUAAGCGUGUGGUGAAAGCCCGGGGCUCAACUCCGGGUCGGCCAUGCGAACUGGGUCACUGGAGCACUGUAGAGGCAGGUGGAAUUCCGGGUGUAGCGGUGGAAUGCGUAGAGAUCCGGAAGAACACCGGUGGCGAAGGCGGCCUGCUGGGCAGUUGCUGACACUGAGGCGCGACAGCGUGGGGAGCAAACAGGAUUAGAUACCCUGGUAGUCCACGCCGUAAACGAUGGGCACUAGGUGCUUCGGGGAGCGACCCUCGGAGUGCCGGCGCUAACGCAUUAAGUGCCCCGCCUGGGGAGUACGGCCGCAAGGCUGAA
rnacentral:rRNA from 1 species